rnacentral:rRNA from 1 species
GUAGGGAAUAUUGGACAAUGGGGGGAACCCUGAUCCAGCCAUGCCGCGUGGAGGAAGACUGCCCUCUGGGUUGUAAACUCCUUUUAUAUGGGAAGAACCGUCCUCAUUAAUGAGUGACCUGACGGUACCAUAGGAAUAAGCACCGGCUAACUCCGUGCCAGCAGCCGCGGUAAUACGGAGGGUGCAAGCGUUAUCCGGAUUCACUGGGUUUAAAGGGUGCGUAGGCGGAUAAAUAAGUCAGUGGUGAAAUCAACGGGCUCAACCUGUUAACUGCCAUUGAUAAGGUGUAUCUUGAAUAUGAGAGAGGUAGGCGGAAUGUUGCAUGUAGCGGUGAAAUGCUUAGAUAUGCUACGGAACACCGAUUGCGAAGGCAGCUUACUAUUUCGUAAUUGACGCUGAGGCACGAAAGCGUGGGUAGCGAACAGGAUUAGAAACCCCGGUAGUCC